GACGAACGCUGGCGGCGCGCUUAACACAUGCAAGUCGAGCGAGAACCAGGGCUCCGGCCCUGGGGACAGCGGCGAACGGGUGAGUAACACGUGGGUAAUCUGCCCUUGACAUCGGGAUAGCCCGGGGAAACCCGGAUUAAUACCGAAUAGCCUCCGGAGCCUUCGGGCGCCGGAGAAAAGGUAGCUUCGGCCUCUGGUCAAGGAUGAGCCCGCGGCGGAUUAGCUUGUUGGCGGGGUAACGCCCACCAAGGCGACGAUCCGUAGCUGGUCUGAGAGGACGAUCAGCCACACUGGGACUGAGACACGGCCCAGACUCCUACGGGAGGCAGCAGUGGGGAAUCUUGCGCAAAUGCGGGAAACCGUGACGCAGCGACGCCGCGUGGGGAAGAAGGCC
rnacentral:rRNA from 1 species